AGAUAGCUUUGCAGGGUGUGACCAGGGUAACUGGGCGCGGAGGACGCGCGGACUUCUAAGUGACCGGCGCCCAGAACUCAGAGCCACCGGGUUUGCGCUCCGCAGCUGGGGAACUUGGAGAGUUAGGAACGCCGAGGUGCAGGCCUCUGGGAGGGGCAUCGAGGUUGGACUGGUUGCUGAUGGACGACUUCUAGCGGCGGCGGCGGCAGCGUCUUCAGACACCGCGCAGGGACUCGCUAGCUCUGCGGGGGUCUCCCCCCCGCAACCACCCCCCACCCCACUCCCUGGAGUUUGGAGGGUCUGGGAGGAGUGGGGUCUCCCCUGCGCCCAAGGCCGAGCUCCGGUGCGUGUCUUGGUGUGGGCCGCGGGCCGGGCCAGGAGAGGAACCAGGACGCCUCUCCCACUUCCUCCUGUUCCUCCUGCUCUUGCCGCCUGCUCCCUCCACCCCUUGCCUGGUUCCCCAUCGAAAUCUGAAGGGCCUUGGUCACUCGGCCAGUGAUUUCCCCCACCGCUCCGUCCUGGCCGCGGGGAUGCAGACCCCUCCCCUCAAGGCCCCGGACCCUCUCCCUGUGCUCGAAGAAGCCUCGGCGCUGCGGUGCGCCCCUCCUUGCUUCUUUUUCUAAAGUGCCUGCUGAUACAAAAGCGGUUUCGUAAUGCCUUCCGUCUGCGAGAGCCGGAGGACCUUGGCUGACCUUUCGGAAACUGAUUGCAACUGCCUGUUAACAGCCCGUACUGACCGCACUGAGCGGAGCGGAGGACAAUCAUUUAAGUGACAGACGGCGAGGUGGCCCCGCUCAGUCGAGCGGCCUGGUUAAGCCCGCCCCUCCCCCCGGACAAACCCCCCCCCCCCCCGCCGCCGCCGCUAGUCCUCCAGCCCCCGGUGCACUUUGGGCUGUGGCGGGCGCUCGGGCAAGCGAGGAGGGCGCGCUCGCGAGUGUGUGUGAGCGUGUUUAUGCGUGUCCGCGAUUACCGACCGACGGGUUAACCCUUUCCCGAGCGGCCCGCCCCUUUGAGGCCAGGCGCUGCCCGCUUAAUCUCCCAUCUGCAAAAGAGGAAUAAAAGGGCCGCCUCCGCCGACUUUCCCUAAUGCGUAAACUGUACCCUUUUAGCGUGACCCGAGCUGCGUUCCUGCUUGCUGCCGGGGAAAGAUCCCACUCUCGGCUCUUCUGCCUCGGCCCUGUGCCCCCUCCCUACACGCACAGACAGCACAGAUUCAAGGAACAGCACGGGGACAGCGCAAGGGAUCCAAAGGCUCGGAGAGACUCGCGCAGCCAGCGAACGCUCGGCGGCGCCCCUCCCCCGCUCACCCGCCGCCUCCCUUUGUUGAUUCUCAGCUGCAAGCGCGGCAGGGCCU
ensembl:lncRNA